CGACCGUAUCCCGUUAAAACACUUAUUCUCGUACGAUCACCGGUCACCGAAGUUAAGCAACUUCAAGCCAGGUUAGUAUAUAGAUUGGUGACCGCUUGGGAAUACCAAGAGCUGUAAG